GCGACCCCAGCUCAAGCGAGAAC
rnacentral:rRNA from 5 species